rnacentral:lncRNA from 1 species
GAUGAUUACAUUUCCAGGUAAUGAAUUCGAUUUUAAUUGGAUUUUUAUGGGACUAUGUUUCUCAAGAUUUGAAUGACAGAAAUCAUGAAUUUAGGUUUUGGGGUUCGUAAGAGUAGUAUAAAAUCUCAAAAAAGAAAUUCAAAAAAAUCAUGAAUUUAGGUUUUGGAUUUUAAUUGGUUUUUGCAGCUAAGAUGGUACCUUCUAUUGGUUUUUGCUGCUAAGAUGGUACCUUCUAUUGAUUUUUGCUGCUAAAUCAACCAUGUCUGGAGACCGAACUCUAUAACCCCAAAUGGCUAAGAUCUCAUCCAUACCAAAUGGAUAUAUUUAAAAAUGCUUACUUAUUUUAUUUGUUUCAG